rnacentral:rRNA from 1 species
GUGGAUUAGCUACCCGGGUAGUCCACGCCGUAAACGAUGAAUACUAGGUGUCAGCCCGCAGGGGUUGGUGCCGCAGUUAACACAAUAAGUAUUCCGCCUGGGGAGUACGCACGCAAGUGUGAAACUCAAAGGAAUUGACGGGGACCCGCACAAGCAGCGGAGCAUGUGGUUUAAUUCGAAGCAACGCGAAGAACCUUACCAGGUCUUGACAUCCCUAUGAAAAACAUUUAACCAUGUUCCUUUCUUCGGAAACAUAGGAGACAGGUGGUGCAUGGUUGUCGCCAACU